UAGGGAAUAUUGCACAAUGGGGGAAACCCUGAUGCAGCGACGCCGCGUGAGUGAUGAAGGCCUUCGGGUCGUAAAGCUCUGUCGUAUGGGACUAACAAAAUGAAGGUACCAUGCAAGAAAGGAUCGGCUAACUUCGUGCCAGCAGCCGCGGUAAGACGAGGGAUCCUAGCGUUGUUCGGAAUUAUUGGGCGUAAAGCGGGUGUAGGCGGACUUAUAAGUCAGGUGUGAAAUCCCAGGGCUCAACCCUGGAAGUGCACUUGAUACUGCAAGUCUUGAGUGUGGUAGAGGCUAUUAGAAUUCCUGGUGUAGUGGUGAAAUACGUAGAUAUCAGGAGGAAUACCGGAGGCGAAGGCGGAUAGCUGGGCCAACACUGACGCUGAGACCCGAAAGCGUGGGGAUCAAACAGGAUUAGAUACCCUCGUAG
rnacentral:rRNA from 1 species